rnacentral:rRNA from 1 species
AUGGUCACGCCGCUGCCCCGCUUCCGCGCUCGCGCGUUCCGCGGCGCGGCGCGAGGCGCGCCGGCCGAGAUACCGCUCGCCGUGAGGCGGACGUGGCAGCAGCCGAUGUUGGUCGCCGCCGCCGAUUCGGAGCCUGCCGUGCCGACCCACUUCUUGUGCCCGAUAUCGCUCGACAUGAUGCGGGACCCCGUGACGGCGCCGACGGGGAUCACGUACGACCGGGAGAGCGUGGAGGGAUGGCUGGAGCGCGGCCACGCCACGUGCCCCGUGACCGGCCGGCCGCUGCGGCUGGAGGAGCUCGUCCCUAACCACGCCACGAGGAGGGUGAUCCAGGAGUGGUGCGUCGCCAACCGGGGGCUCGGGGUAGAGCGCGUGCCCACGCCCCGCGUCCCGGUCUCCGCUUUCGACGCGUCCGAGCUUCUGGAGGCGGUAUGCGCGGCCGCGAGGCGCGGCGACGGGCCGAGGUGCCGGGAGCUGGUCGCGAGGGCCAGGGCGCUCGGGAAGGAGAGCGAGCGCAACCGCCGGUGCUUCGUGUCCGCCAGCGCCGCCCGCGCGCUCUCGUCGACGUACUGCCAUCUUGCCGGCCAGCGGGUGGUGCCAGCGACGGCCCUAGAGGAGAUCCUGGCGGCGAUGGUCGUGUUCUUGCCUCUUGACGAGGAGUCCAGGCGCCACAUUGCCUCCCCGGCGGCGCUGGAAUCCGUCGUGUCUAUCCUCUCCCACAGCGAGCUCCUAGCGCGGGUCAGCGCCGUCGUCGUUCUCCGCGAGAUCGCCUCCUCAUCCGACCGGCAGUGCCUCGAGGCGAUGGCCAAGACCACCGGCAUAUACGCGGCGCUCGUCAAGCUCCUGGAGAAACCCGUCUCGCCCCAGGCCACCAAGGCGGCGCUGGUAACCGCGUACUACCUCGUCAUGCACACCGAGCUCGCCGCGUCCCGCCUCGUCGACCUCGGCGCGGUGCGGCUCGUCCUCGAGCUGCUGGUGGACGCCGACAAGGGCGCGACGGAGAAGGCGCUGGCCCUGCUGGACAGCCUGCUCCUCACAUGCAAGGGCCGCGACGAGGCGUACGCGCAGGCGCUGGCCGUGCCGGUGAUCGUGAAGAAGAUGCAGCACGUGUCCGACAUGGCUACGGAGUUCGCCGUGUCGGCGCUGUGGCGGCUGUGCAAGAACUCCCCGGCGGAGGGCGACGGGUGCAAGGCCGAGGCGCUGCAGGUCGGCGCGUUCCAGAAGCUGCUCCUGCUGCUGCAGGUGGGCUGCGAGGGCGCCACCAGGGAGCGGGCUAGCGAGCUGCUCAGGAUUCUCAAUGGAUCCAGGGACGGCGCCGAGUGCAUCGACACGCUGGAUUUCAAGGCGCUCAAGAGACCCUUCUGA